AACGAACGCUGGCGGCAGGCUUAACACAUGCAAGUCGAGCGCCCCGCAAGGGGAGCGGCAGACGGGUGAGUAACGCGUGGGAAUCUACCCAUCUCUACGGAAUAACGCAUGGAAACGUGUGCUAAUACUGUAUACGUCUUUCGGGAGAAAGAUUUAUCGGGGAUGGAUGAGCCCGGGUUGGAUUAGCUAGUUGGUGGGGUAAAGGCCUACCAAGGCGACGAUCCAUAGCUGGUCUGAGGGGACGAUCAGCCACACUGGGACUGAGACACGGCCCAGACUCCUACGGGAGGCAGCAGUGGGGAAUAUUGGACAAUGGGCGCAAGCCUGAUCCAGCCAUGCCGCGUGAGUGAUGAAGGCCCUAGGGUUGUAAAGCUCUUUCACCGGUGAAGAUAAUGACGGUAACCGGAGAAGAAGCCCCGGCUAACUUCGUGCCAGCCGCCGCAGUAACAC
rnacentral:rRNA from 1 species